GGCUACUGGUUUAUCUGAGCCCACAUUG
rnacentral:sRNA from 1 species